rnacentral:lncRNA from 11 species
GCCAAAAAAGCAGCCUGGGUCUUAAUUUAAACACUAGCUAUGGCCUUUUUGCGGAAGUUGCUUAAUGCUUAUAUUAAAAUUUAACUGACUUUGAGAGGCAUCCAAACAUUAAAGAAUUUUAACUAAAAUUAUUGAGAGACUACCAGAUCCAGAGAUAAAAACACAGCACUACAUAAG